rfam:Myotis lucifugus cont2.24268, whole genome shotgun sequence.
GGCAGUUCUUGGGUGACGCACCCUGGAAUCGGGCUCAACCCUCUCUGGUCCCGGCUGUGUUACCCGAGAACUGCA